GUGAUAGGUAGUGUGAUAGGUAGUGUGAUAGGUAGUGUGAUAGCUAGUGUGAUAGGUAGUGUGAUAGGUAGUGUGAUAGGUAGUGUGAUAGGUAGUGUGAUAGGUAGUGUGAUAGGUAGUGUGAUAUGUAGUGUGAUAGGUAGUGUGAUAGGUAGUGUGAUAGGUAGUGUGAUAGGUAGUGUGAUAGGUAGUGUGAUAGGUAGUGUGAUAGCUAGUGUGAUAGGUAGUGUGAUAGGUAGUGUGAUAGGUAGUGUGAUUGGUAGUGUGAUAGGUAGUGUGAUAGGUAGUGUGAUAGGUAGUGUGAUAGGUAGUGUGAUAGGUAGUGUGAUAGGUAGUGUGAUAGGUAGUGUGAUAGCUAGUGUGAUAGGUAGUGUGAUAGGUAGUGUGAUUGGUAGUGU